AUGCCAGGAACUCACAAUGACAUCAACGUGCUGCAGUGCUCCCCUGUCUUUGCCAAGCUUGUUGAAGGUCAUUCUCCUCCGGUGAACUUCGAGGUCAAUGGGCGGCACUACAACAAGGGGUACUACCUAGCUGAUGGCAUCUAUCCGAGAUGGUCUACAUUUGUGAAGACUAUCUCAAACGCUGUGCCAGGAGGCAAGAAGCCCCACUUUGCCAAGGUGCAGGAGGCUUGCCGGAAGAAUGUCGAGCGGGCAUUUGGUGUGCUCCAAUCUCGAAUUGCUGUUGUCCGGUACCCUGCUCAGACCUGGUCGAAAGAUCAAAUGUGGGAGAUCAUGACUUGCUGUGUCAUCGUGCACAACAUGACCAUCGAGAGCGAGCAAGAAGAGCCAGUGUUUGAUACUUAA
rnacentral:rRNA from 1 species